AGAAUCAACGCUGGCGGCGUGCCUAACACAUGCAAGUCGAACGAGAAAGUGGAGCAAUCCAUGAGUAAAGUGGCGCACGGGUGAGUAACACGUGACUAACCUACCCUUGAGUGGGGGAUAACCUAGAGAAAUCUUGGCUAAUACCGCAUAAUACCCACGGGUCAAAGCAGCAAUGCGCUUGGAGAGGAGUUCGCGGCCGAUUAGCUAGUUGGCGGGGUAAUGGCCCACCAAGGCGAUGAUCGGUA
rnacentral:rRNA from 1 species